AUUUAUGAAAUCAAUAUCUAUAAAUAUGCAUUUUUGCAGAUUCAAAAAUUUCAUUUAUGAAAUCAAUAUCUAGAAAUAUGCAUUUUUGCAGAUUCAAAAAUAGCUAUAAAUCUGAUCCUUUAAGGCUAAUAUAGUAUACUUGCAAUUGCAACUAGAGUCAAGUAUUGCUAUAACUAGAAAAUGGCAGGAUAAGUCUGGAAACAAGAAAAUGAAGAAGUGAAACCAAAUUACUUUUCUGUGCAAAAUUAGCUCAUAUGAGUUCCCAUCAACUAUUGAUUUCCUUUCUUGGUUGUUAAGCUUGCAAGCUUUCCGAGUAUAUCUGAUUCAUCAAUGGGAUGGCCACCUUUGUAAUGACAGCAAUUAUAGUAUAACAGCAAUUGUAAAAUCCAUAACUGUUCAUUUCAACAAUAAUACAAUAUAUAUGACAUUAUAGUAU
rnacentral:lncRNA from 1 species